GAGUUGUAAGCCGAGGACCAGACUGUGAUAGUCAUGAGCCGAGGGCCAUCGCUGUGAUAGUGUGAGCCGAGGUAAGCUUGGUGCUACCUCUUUUCUUUUGUUUGUUAUUUUCUUUGAAUAAGAGGAUUGAGAGUUUCUGAAUAUUGUGAAGUGAAUUAUGGAAUGGAAAUGUGAUUGGUAUUAUUUGAGAAGAAGAAAGAUUGAAUGUUGAAAUCUGAUUGUAAUUCAGCAGAGAGAAUGAGUUUGUGUUUGUUUGAAAUACUGUAAUGUGAAUGGCAAUUUUGUGUGAAGAAUUCCAGUGAUUGGAACGAGGGUAAUUGUGUGCUGAAAGUUGUGAGGGCGUAGUAUUACAGUUGGAGAUUAUGAGGGUGAAUAUAUUGGUAGAAAUAGCAGUUAUUGGUAUGACUGAAUUACUGUAAGGAAGAGACCGAUAAGGUGAAGGAAGAGAUUAUAAUUUUCUUGUGUGUUCAGAUAUUGGAAAUAGAGACAAUAUAUUCAGGAGAUAAUUGAUUGUAUGAUCCUAACAUGAACGAUUAAGCAACUAGUCAUUCCCCAUGUUCGAAUCUCCCUAUACGGGUUUAUUCUGGGAGGUUUCUUUUAGAAUAAAUAAAACGAGCAAUCAUAUUUUGGUGCCGCUGUCGGGGAGUGAUAAUAGCUUUGAGUAUUAGGAAUUAAUUAUCAAACGUGUGAAAAAAUUGGCAAUGGAAGACAAUUUCAAUAGUGUUUGAAGCAAGAUUAUGGUUAAUAAGAACGAGGGCAAUGCAUCGAGGAAAAUAAAUCAGUUGAGAGAAAGACAGGGAAGAACACAAGGAAGGAACUUGCUUAGAGAGGAGCAAGAACAUAAUCUUAAAAAGAAGCAUUGACAGAAUUGGAUUAAACCUUGGUUGCAAGCUUGUCGGUGCAUCCGAACAUAUUAAGAACCAGACAGACUAUUAAUUCUACAAUCGUAUGUAUCGUUAGAAAAACUGUCAAGAACACUCGCUGGAAAUUUUAUUAACAUUCUAGUAGAAAUCUUGAGGCCAUUAACUGAAAGAGAAGAAGGCGUAGAAGAAUUUGGUACUUUUUGGAUAUUUUUUCAGUAAGGGGUAUCACUGAAACGAGCAAUAGUGGCUCUUCAAAUUGGCACAAAUUGGUCGCUAAUAAAGAUAACUAUAUUGUAUUUCAAAAUCUGACGUUUUCACCUAUAAUUCUACCAAUAAAACUAUUUACAAAAAAUAACAGUAAAUCGAGGAGCAUUGAGAGCUCGAAAAUUAGAAUAAGGGAAAGCAGAGAUUAUUUUAAAAUGGAGUUUAGCGGAACAAAAAAUUCAAUGGCGUCAGGAAGACCAGCUAUUUCGAUUGCAGUGCAAAUGGGUGCAGUAGGCGAUUGUACGACUAAUGUUGCGCCAUUAUCUAUUUUUUGAGGUUUGCUUGGUGCGGAUCUAGAUUAAUAUUUGUCUCAAUUCUUGAUGGCAUAUGUAGCCAAUAAUGGAAGAACAGAAGACAUUUGGCUGAGAUGGCUGCCAGCGACAUUGAAAGACACAGCGUUUGAUUGGUAUAACCGCCAACCUGAGGGACAAUUUAUCAAUUGGGAGGCAUUGAAAAAUAUAUUUUUAGCCCAUUUUUGACCAAUUGGUUUUGAAGAACGUCUUAGAGAAAAAUUAAUGACUAGCAGAAUGGUACCAAGGGAAGCAGUACAAUCAUAUUAUGGUCGUGUAGCAAAUAUACUUCAAAAAUGGCCAAAUAACCAAAUACUGGAAUCGUUUGUGUUGUCUAUAUUGGUUAAUAGACUACACCCACCAGAAUUGAAGAUGUUUGUAAAGGAGGCCCAAUCAGCCACCAUUGCAUCAUCUCUUGAGCGAGCGAAAGUAUGGGAGGAAUGUCACUAUGACCAGAACUUAAUAGUUGGAGCCAAGAUGAUUCCAUCUCAAGGAGGUUAUCAAAUGACAACUUGGAAUGACGCAUCAAGAAGUUAUCUGGGAAAGAAUGAAUAUGGUACAAUUCCACAGGGAAUAGUAGAAGUCGUUCCAUUGCAAGUUGUACCACCAUCAUCAUCACAUUCGUAUGCGUCUUAUUUCGCAUAUGAGAACCCAAUACCUACAAAAGAAUUGUCAAAUGCAUUAGUAUCAAGAGAUCCCAAUGAGUCAUUGCUGUUAACAUUGACAAAAAAAAUGAAUGAAUUGGUUGUGAAUCUGGCCAAAGAUAAAGAAAAAAAGCAUAAAUCAACUAAUAUGCGUCCCAAUGUCUGGUGCAGUAAUUGUAAGGGGCAAGGUCAUUUAGUAACAGAAUGUCCUUCACCACCCAAUUGACUGUACAAUGUACCUUUUGCUGGGGCAAGCAUAUUACCACCAACUGUUGGAAUUUACGGAAGCAACAAAACCUGAAUAACCAGAUAAUGACUCAACCAACUUCGUGGGAUGUCAAUCAAGUACAAACGAAUAAUAGGUUUGGUUGGAAUAGAAAUCGAGUGAAUAAACAAAACAAGAAUUAUUCUAGUUUCCUAAACUCUAAAUUUCACCAAAAAGGUGUAUCCAAUACUCACAGAUUAGCGAUGAACCAAGCAAGAUAUCAUCAAUAUCCACCCAUGACGAAGCCAAUGCCAGAAUCUAUAGUAACAAUGGGUCAACCAAGAUCCUUUACUCAUCCGACAUGGAACAGACCUAGCCGUUAUAUACCAAUAGAGACACCCAUUAUCCCUGAAGGAGUUGGCAGGAGACCACUUCGUUGCUAUUGUUGUAGACAAAUCGGACAUUAUGCAAGUGAAUGUCCUAAAUCCAAGAGCCAGUGAUGACUAUGCUCCAAUAUGUGGAAAUUGUAAGCAGUUUGGUCACACUUAUCAGUAGUGUCAUGCACCCUUUAAUUAUAAUAACCGGGACUAAUAAAUGCAAACAAGCUAUCCGGCGGAGGAUAAAGGCCCUGUUCAACGAGACGCACCAGUACAUCGUGUCGAGGUGGUGAACGCAGUACUUACGAGAGGCCAACAAAAAGAUAAGAAUUCAAUUCAGGAUGUGGAUGAACCAAUUAAAGGAGAGCAAGUAGCACCAUCCACGGGGCUAAACGAAUCAAUAUCAGUAUUGGGACGUAUCCUAAUAUUGAAACCUCAACAGACUAAGGAACCCAAUUCGAUUCUACGUGCCAAUUUAUUGGGACCAUCCAAUCCAGGUCUUAUUACGGGCUUUGUACCUAGUAUGAGACCUAAAUUAGUGACAAAACCCAGUGAGGUCCCAAUUACGGAGGCUUCGGUUUUGUUCCAAGCACUUCCAAUCUCUAAGCAGUUUCGAGAAACGUCCUAUCCGUUGAAAGAUCCUCUCGAGGGUGGAAAUUCUAAGAAAGCCUCGGCUGCUGUUCUAAUUCCAAGUCCAUGACAGAAUAAUAUCUUACAUCACAGAGUAAAAUCGAAACCAAUGAAACGCAAAAGAGUAUUAGGAAUUACUCUCAAUAUGGAACCCUACGAUAUUUUGAAGGAUUUGGAUGUUAUUCAGCCUUCAAUUACAAUGAAGUAACUUUUGGCUAUAGCACCAGAAUGUCGAUCUACAUUGAAUUCAGUACUAAUACGAUGAAGAUCCUGCACUAAAAAAAUUCAUGAAAUUAGCUUAAACCCAGAUCCGGGAGCACCAUCAAUCAAUGGCAUUUUAAUUCCAGGGGUACAAGUCAAUGGUGGCUCUAGUGUAAAUUUAAUGAACGCGGAUACAAUGAAGGACUUGGAUCUAAAGUAAUUGCUAUCUACGACAAUGGUCUUGCGAAUGGCAGAUUGUAGUCGGGUAAAGCCAAUGGAAAUCUUAUGCAAUAUUGCCAUUAUAAUUGCGAGAUUGACAUACAAAAUCGAUUAUAUUGUAUUCCAAUUACAGAGUUCUACAUUAUCGUAUCUUAUUUUAUUAGGCAGACCUUGACUUUAUCAAGCCAAAGCUAAGAACGAUUGGGGCUGAGGCACAUUGAUAAUUGAAAAAGACCGGGAUCAGAUUGUUCUACAGAUGUAUCCCAUAUAAUAUCAUGAAGAAUCUCAAUUACCAAAAUUAGAAUUUAUAUCAAACAACGAUAGUCAAUUGAUUGAAGAAGAUGCCGAUAUUAUAGAUUCACCGUAAUUUGAGGUAAGACAAAACAUUUCAACAGCAAAGGCAUGAGUCUAACAAUGUGGAGGUCCCUGCAAAUAUUUACUACAUCAGGAGGAUGCGACUAACUUGGAUUAUGCUAUUAUCGAAUGCAUGAAUAAUUCUGCUGUCAAUAGAGUCAGCACAUUGGAACCAGAUUUGGAUGGUUUCCAUAUGUCGAAUAAUACAAGAUAUUCAGAUCAGGAGAAGACAAUUAAAUCAAAGAUUGUUGAAGACCGUGUGUGUCAAUCUAUUAACCUGGGCACCAACAAAACACCACAGCUAAUUAAAAUAUAUGUCGGUAUUAUAGGUACAAAAUUGGAUGCUUGAAAAUAGUUUUUUGUCCAUCACAAAUCUACCUUUGCGUGGUCAUAUGCAGAUUUGAAAGAGAUUUCUGUUGACGUGUGUGAGCACCAGAUUAUUUUGGAGGAGGGUGUUAUGCUAGUUCGUCAAAGAAAACAUUGGCUUAAUCCUAAAUAUUCCUUUUUAGUGAAAGAGGAAUUGGAUAAACUUCUUGACGUGGAUUUUAUUUAUCUUGUUCCGCAUAGUGCAUGGGUGUCACCAAUCGUGAUGGUGUCAAAGAAGAAUGAAAAAAUCAAGAUAUAUCAAGAUUUUUGAAAGUUAAAUGCGGCCACCAAGAAAGAUUACUUUCCAUUACCUUUCAUAGAUAGUAUGGGUAACUUGUUGUCAUUAUCACCACUAAGUAAAAGAAUAGGAGUGGGACACCAGUUAAAGUCAUUCUGUGGUGUUGUUUUGGGUUGGCUGGAGUGCCAUUUUCUUGUAUUUCUUGUAUUUUCGAGAGUAAUAGUUCUAGUUAAGAGUUAGCAGUGAGGAGUCGGUUACAAGUGUCGAUUGAAGAUAUUUCAGAAUGGAUGAGUUAGUAGCAAUAAUUGGAACUUCAGAAUGUCCAAAUCUUAAAAUUGGAAGCUCAAGUCCAUAUACUGGGCGAGUAAAAUAAAGACCUUUCAGCUUUGUUGAAGCAAGAGCUUAUGGAAGGAUUGGAGGAGGACGAAGAUUUGCAGUUGGAACUGGAAUUGGUGGAACCAAUAAUAGAUACUGUGGCAAUUGAUUAAUUAGAUAGGCCAGAGAGAUUGUAAUUUUUGUAGAGAGUUGUUAGAUAAUUUUUACAUAGGUAUCAAUUGAGUAUUUGCGAGCACGCUGCACAGUUAGGAGUGGAGCUAUGUAGAAUAAGUAGUUAUUUUCAGAAUGUAGAUACCUAGUGUAUAGUGUAAACAGGGAUAGAUAAUUACUGAAAAGGUGAUUCAGUAAGUAGAAUGGAUGAAUAGUCAGGAAAAGUAGUUAUCAUCUGUAAUAUAGGAGUUAAUAUCUGAGGGUAGUAUAAGGAGGAUGGGAGAGGGGAAAAAAAUGCCAGACUGUGAGAGUUGUAAGCCGAGGGCCAUACUGUGAUAGUCAUGAGCCGAGGGCCAUUGCUGUGAUAGUGUGAGCCGGGGUAAGCUUGGUGCUACCUCUUUUCUUUUGUUUGUUAUUUUCUUUGAAUAAGAGGAUUGAGAGUUUCUGAAUAUUGUGAAGUGAAUUAUGGAAUGGAAAUGUGAUUGGUAUUAUUUGAGAAGAAGAAAGAUUGAAUGUUGAAAUCUGAUUGUAGUUCAGCAGAGAGAAUGAGUCUGUAUUUGUGUAAAAUAUUGUAAUGUGAAUGGCAGUUUUGUGUGAAGAAUUCUAGUGAUUGGAACGAGGAUAAUUGUAUGCUAAAAGUUGUGAGGGCGUAGUAUUACAGUUGGAGAUUAUGAGGGUGAAUAUAUUGGUGGAAAUAGCAGUUAUUGGUAUGAUUGAAUUGCUAUAAAGAAGAGACCGAUAAGGUGAAAGAAGAGAUUAUAGUUUCCUUCUGUGUUCAGAUAUUGGAAAUAGAGACGAUACAUUCACGAGAUAUUUAAUUGUGUGACCCUAACAUGAACGCUUAAGCAACUAGUCAUUUCUCGUGUUCGAAUCUCCCUAUAUGGAUUUAUUUUGGGAAGUUUCUUCCAGAAUAAAUAAAACGAGUAAUCACAAUAGUUUAUUAUAAAAUGAAUUAGCUGAAUUCAAAGAAUAUAUUGAAGAAAAUCUGGCUAAGAAUUUUAUACGCCAUUCCAAAUUACCAGCAAGAGCUCCAAUCUUAUUUGUGAAGAAGAAAAAUGGAUCAUUGCGAAAGUAUGUUAAUUAUCAAGGACUCAACAAGAUCAUUGUUAAGAAUAGAUAUCCUCUAUCUUUGAUAUCCGGACUUCUCGAUCAAUUGAAUCAAGCUAAGAUCUAUACAAGAAUAGAUCUAUGGAGAGUAUGAAAUCUAAUACGUAUUAAGGAAGGAGAUGAAUGCAUUUUGAACUAGAUAUAGGCAUUUUGAAUACAACGUCAUGCCUUUUAGACUUAUAAAUGUAUCGACAGCUUUUCAACAUUUAAUGAAUGAUGUUUUUUUGAGAAUUUUUAGAUGAUUUUGUUGCCUGUUAUCUGGACAACAUCUUGAUCUAUUCUAAAAAUACAUAUGAAUAUGAACUUCAUGCUCGACAUGUGUUACAAAAAUUAAGAGAUGCACAGCUCUAUGUCAAGAUAGAAAAGUAUGUAUUUCACACUACUGAAGUUGACUUCUUUGUAUACAUUAUUUUAAAUGAUGAACUUAUGAUGGAUUCUAAAAAAGUUCAAACAAUUAUAGAUUAGAAGAUCCAAAAAUGGUAAGAGAUGUCUAAUACUUUUUGGGCUUUGCCGACUAUUUUCGAAUCUUCAUCAAAGACUUCUCUCGAGUUGCAGCUCCCUUUAUAUGUUUGACUUGCAAAGACAAACUUGAGUGGAGUAAAGAAGCUAAAGCAUCUUUUGAAACUUUGAAGUUAGCCUUUACUUCUACACCAAUCUUCUAUUGUGUCAACUUUUUUAAGGCAUUUUUAAUGGAAACAGAUGCAACAGACUUUGCUUUGGGUGUUGUAUUAUCACAAAUGGAAGUAAAUGAUAUACUUCAUCUAGUAGCUUUUUAUUCCUAAAAAAUUUCAGCAAUCGAGAUUAAUGAUGAAAUUGUAGAAUAGAUAUUAAUUUGUUUUUGAAUUAUAUUGGUAAAAUAUACUAAUAGUCCAUAGAAUAGGCAAUUCAGGAGGAUGGAUGAUUGAUUUAGUUAUUAAAUGUGAUUAAUUGCAGAAUUAUGGUUAGAAUCUAGAAAAUCAGAAGAAAUUAUAAAGGAGUUGUAGAAGUUAGUUUAAGGACCAGAUUGUGCUAGUCAUGAGCCAAGGUAAGCUUGGUGCUACUUCUUUCUUUGUUUAUUUUUUGGAUUUUUUUUUCUUUAUAAAAAAAGAGUUAUAGAUAGUUUCUCAAAAAUGUGAAGUAAUGUUUUGGAAUGAAAAGAGAUUUGAUAUUGUCAAAAGAAGAAUUUAAUUUAUUGAAUGUAGAGUUCUACAGUGGUAAAUUAAAAGAGAAUAAUUAGAAAUAUUUGUGAAGAAUAGAUAUGAAUGGAAGGAUUAUAAUACAUUAAGUAUUGAGAAUUGAGAGUGAUUCAUUAGAAGGAGUCUGUAGAGUUUGGAAUUCUGUGAAGAAGUGUAUUGAGAAGGAUAGUUAGUGGUGAAGGAUUCUAGUGUUUGAAUUAUGAAACGAUUAUGUACUAUCUUUUAGGAUAAUGCGGGGAUACACAUUGUUGUUAUCAAUGAUGGUAGAGUACUAUUAGGAAGUGGAAAACAUUGUGGUGUUCCUUGGUAUUUUUAGUGAUUUGAAAUAUGGUUAAUUGUAUGAUCUUAAGAAGUAAAAUUCAUGUGCUUAGUCUUUCCCUGCAUUUGAAUCUCCCUCUACAGGUUUAUUUUGAAAGAAAUUUGUAGAAUAAGUAAAACGAUAAUUACAUUUUGGCGCCAUUGCAGGAGAUUGACAAUAAUAUUGAGCAUUAAGAAUUAGCUACCGAUUGAAUAGAUAAAAAAUAAAAAGUAGACUGAGUAGAAUAUAAUGAAAGAGUAUGAUUAUUAAGAAUGAGAACUCAACAAUAAAGAAAAUACGAUAGUCAAAAGAAAGAAUAUAAAGAUCAUAAGCAAGAAAUUUGUUACGUAAUGAGCAAGAACAAAAGUUAAAAAGGAAUCAUCGACAAAGUUAGAUUAAGCCAUGGUUGUAUGCCUAUCGGCAUAUCCAAGUAUAUCCAAAAGUUGAUCGACAUCUAAUAUUUCAGAAGUAUGUACCGUUAGAGAUAUUGCUAAGAGUACUCGCAAAAAAUUUGGUCAAUAGUCUAGUGUUUCCCUUGAGGCUGUUAACUACAAGUGGGGGCAUCAUAGAAAAAUUGGAUACUCCAUUGGGUAUAUUUUCAAUAAUAGAAGUUGUCGAUUCUGUCAAAACUGGUUCUAUAGAAUGGCAUAAAUUACUGGUUAAUAAGGGCCAAUUCAAUGGAUUUCAAAAUCCAUCAUUUUCAUCCACAAUUCGAGCAAAUAACUUAUUUAGAGAUAAUAUUAGCAAAUUAAGGAAACUUGAAAGUUUAGAACAAAGAAUUGGAGAAGGUGUCAGUUAUGUUAACAAAAGAUUAUAUCAUACAUUAUUCUCUUCAAUAGCAAUGGAUGGUCAAGCGGUUCCAAUAGCAGUAUAAAUGGAUGACAUGAGCGAUUGUGUAACGAGCGUGGCUCCAUUAUUUAUUUUUUGGAGCUUCCCGGAUGCAGAUUUUGAUCAAUAUUUGUCUUAGUUUCUGACAGGAAGUAUAGCCAAUAAUGGAAGAACCAAAGAUAUUUGGUUAUGAUGGUUGCUAGCAACCUUAAAGGACAUGGCAUUUGAAUGGGACAACCGCCAACCAAUGGAUCAAUUUUCGAAUUAGAAAGUAUUGAAGAAUGUAUUUUUAAUCCAUUUUUGGCAUAUUGGUUUUGAAGACCACCUUGCAAAGAGAUUAAUGAAUUGUAAAAUGAUCCUGAGGGAGGCAAUGGAAUCGUACUAUGGCCAAAUGGUUGAUAUACUCAAUAAAAAGGUCGAAUCACCUAAUGUCAGAGGUAUUUAUCUUAUUCAUAUUAAUCAAUGGUUUGCACUUACUAGAGCUAAAAAUGUUUGUAAAGGAAGCUCAACAUGUUAUGGUAUCUGCAUCCCUUAAUAGAACCAAGGUUUGGGAGGAAUGCCAUUAUGAUCAGUUUUUAAAUGUGGGAGCCAUGAUGAUUCCAAUUCAAGGUAGAUAUCAAAAUCUAACUUAGAAUGAAUCAGUGGGUAGUUAUCCAUUGUUGUUAGAAACAUGGGCCAAUUACAGUGUCAAUAUUCAAGGGUCAGUUAAUGUCACCUCAUUGUAAGCUAUACCACCAAACGUGACAACGGUGUAUGCUCCAUAUUCUCUGUAUCAACAACAAGCAUUAACUACGAUAAAAAUAUCAAUAAUAGCAGCUCUAAAAGAUUUUAAUGAAACCUUAUUAUUGAACCUGAUGAAGAAAAUAGAAGAAAUGGCCAUCUAUAUGGCCAAGGAUAAGGAAAAGAGAUAAAAGCCUACCAAUACUAGGACCAAUGUAUGGUGUAGUAAUUGUAAGGGCUACGGUCAUUUGAUAACAAAAUGCCCUUCACCCUCACAAAUAAUGGAUCAAUGUACAUUUUGUUGAGGACAUCACUUAACAGCUAAUUAUUGGAAUUAGCAAAGGCAACAACAAUUCAAUAAUGAGACAAUGAUUCCACCAACUCAGUGAAACAUCAAUCAAGUUUAAAUGAAAAAUAUAUUUGGAUGGAAUGGAAAUCAAUUUAAUUGAUAAAAUCAAGCAUUUAAUAACUUUCAAAGUUUCAAUUUUAAUGAUGGAUCUGCAACGAAUUUCCAGAACUAUGAUAAGGAGCAGUAGAAGUAUCAGCAAUAUGCUCUAUUCAUGCCAUCAAAUCAAGUUCCCUCUGUACCUAUGGGACAACUAAAAUUAUUUUCUAACCCUACAUAGAACAAGCAUAGUAGGUAUAUACUGAUGGAGACACCCAAUAUGCCUUAUGGAGGUACAAGAAGACCACUUCAUUGUUACCAUUGUAGACAGAUUGGUCAUUAUGCUAGUGAAUGUCUCUAUCCCAAAGCCAGUGAGAAUUAUGCACCAAUUUGUGGGAAUUGCAAGCAAUCGGGGCAUUUGUAUCAGCAAUAUAAUGCUCUAUUGUCGUACUGUAAAUACUUACAGUAUGUAAAAAUUAGUUAAAACAUAUUAUAUGUUAAUAAAUUUAGAUGUGUAUUAGAAUGGCUAGUAGAUUAAAUUAAAAGGAAUUGGUAUAAGAAACUUUACUUUGUUUCUUUACUUGUUUUGAUUUUGACAUUAAAAAAAAAUAUAAGACCUAAAUGUUUAAUAUGAAGCCUUAGGAGAAGGUGGAAGCCUAAGGAUGAAAAUCUAAACUAAUAGGAAGCUAAUUGGGAGAAAUGAAAGCAAGGCCUGGUCGGAUGAAGGUAAGGAAUGGGGAACUUCAUCCCUAUUGAUCGAAUACCAUGUUCAAUGGGCUUUGAGGAGGCUAACUGCGAUCUUAACAAGGAUUUCAAUGACUUCAAAGAAGGAACUCGAGCUUUGGAGGCUAGGAUCAGUAAGUUUAGGAUUUUGGGUAUAAUUUGGGUGAAGAGUUUGUGUGAUUUCAAGUUUUUGUGAAGGAAAUAUAGGUAUUCAAAGUUAAGGUAUUAAUUUAAGACAUAUUAUUAUUCUUUUGAGGAUACGAGAAGUUAUACGAUAGUUUUUGAAGAUCUAAAGGUGUGGUUGGAACAACGAUUUUAAGGCCUACACUUUUUAUAAAAGAAUUAAUGAUUUUAGAGUUUAUAUGAAAGAGUUAUAAGGAGUUGAAGGCUACGCUUUCAAAUCAAAGGUAGUAAGUGAGUGGUUUUGUUUACAGUAAUGGUUGGAGCCAUAAUUUGAGUUUUUGGACAAAUUUUUGGCUCAAGCUUUUUUUGGAAAAUAUAAAAUUUUGUGUUAAAAAGCUAUACAUAUAAAUUUUGUAGAAUUUGAGCUUAUAUUUUGUGAGAUAUGAAGAAAAUUGCACGUGGAUAUAUAAAGAUAAGGGUUUGAAGUGACUAUUAGGGUUUUCAAGAUAUCUCAAGAUCCACAAUAAAUUUGUAGUUGAAAUUUGUUGUAGAAGUUAAUAAAAAUACAUCAGUAUCUCAUGUAAAAUUUGAGUUUGUUUGAAUGGUCAGAUUAGAAGAUAUGACGUGUUGAAGUUUGGAAAAAUUUCCACAUGAGGAUAUACAAGGUUUUAGAGGAUUUUAUCAUAUUUUGGGUAUUGUUGGUUACUUGAGACUUGUGUAUUUGGUAUAAUUGCUCAAAAGAAAAAAUUUAUAUAUAAACUUAGGGAUUUUCUUAUUUUAAAGCUUGAUUGAAUAAUUAGUGACAAUGAGAAGCUCAGCGUUUUCUUGAGGCAAAUUCUCUCUACCCCGACAACGUUCAAUUUCAAUAAUCAAGACGAGUAGAUACCAAAGCCAAGUAAAAAUUGAGGAGAUAAAUCAAAGUCCUCAAAAUUCUCCAGUAAAUCGAGUAGAAUGUGUCUAAGCUAUUAUUACUAGAAGUCAGCAAAAAAAAAAAAGACCAAUUCAACAUUUGAGUGAUCCUGAUGCGAAGGGCCAAUUUGAUCCAAUUACGGGGCCAUCCAAUCCAGCUCUUGUUAUGGGCUUCUUACCUAAUAUGAGACUUGAUUUGGUUGCGCAAUCCAAUGAUGUCUCAAUCAUGGAGGCUUUGAUUUUGUUCCAAGCAGUCUGGUUCUCUAUGUAGUUUCAAGAAACAUCCUAUCUGUUGAAAAAUCCUCUCAGGGGUGGAAAUUCUAAGAAUGCUCUGACUGUUGUUCUACUUCCAAGUCUAAGAUGAAAGAAUAUCUUACCUCACGGAGUUAAACUCAAACCAAUGAAAAGAAAGAGGGCCUUGGAAAUUAUCCUAAAUAUAAAAUCUUAUGACAUUUUGAAGGAUCUGGAUACUAUUUGGCCUUCUAUUUCUAUGAAGUAACUUCUAGCGGUUGCACAAGAGUGCCAUUCUACAUUGAAUUCAUUGUUAACACGGCAUAGGCAACGUAAUAAGAAAGUUUGUGAAGUCAGUUUGAACCUUGAUCCAGGUGCACCAACCAUCAAUUUUCAAUUGAUGGUAUUAUGAUCUCGGGUGUUCAAGUGGAUGGUGGUUCUAGCAUCAAUUUAAUAAACAUUCAUACAAUAGAUGCUUUAGAUUUGGAACACUUAGUAUCCACGAUAUUAUUAUUAUGAAUGGCAGAUCAUUGCCGGGUUAAAUUAAUGGAUAUUUUACGGAGUGUUCAAAUUAUAAUUGUUAAUAUUGCAUAUGAAAUCGACUAUAUCAUCUUUCGGUUAUAACAUUUGAUUUUAUUGUAUCCAAUCUUAUUAGAAUGACCUUGGUUUUAUCAAGUAAAGAUCAAUAAUGAUUAGGAUCAAAGUACUUUGAGAAUUGGCAUGGGCGGAGAUAAAAUGGUAUUACAAAUGUAUACAGUAUACUAUCACGGGGAGUCUCAAUUACCAGCGUUUGAAUUGGGGUUGGACGAUAAGUUUAGCUCCAAUAAUGAAAUAGUAGCACCAAUUACGAAGGUGCUCAUAGAGGCAACACAAUACCGUGGAGUGAUAUAUCAAUGUGGAGGUACGGAGGAGUACGUGAUAUAUCCAAUGGAUUCAAAAAACUUUGAUUAUGUUAAUAUUGAUUAGAUGACCAAAUAUAAUGUGCAUAAUAUCAGUGUUCGAGACAUAAGAUUCAGUACUUUGAACAUGUCAGACUUAUCAACUAAUUUUAAACUAGUACGGAGAUUGAAAAAUAAUAUUGCCGUUGUACCUUUAUGUCAAACUAUCAACUUGGCGACCAAAAAAAAUUCUUAGACAAUUAAGGUCUAUGAAGGUAUUAAGGAGUAGGAGUUGACCUAUUGGAUAGAAUUUUUUUUGUAUCAUAAAUCUAUUUUUGCUUGCACUUAUAAUAAUUUAAAAGGCAGCCUUGUUAAGAUCUAUGAAUAUCAUAUGAUUUUAGAGAAGAUCCCUAAUCCAGUAUGGCAGAGGCAACAUCGCCUUAAUCCUAAAUAUUUCUUCAUGGUGAAGGAAGAAUUAGACAAGCUUCUUGUGGUUGGUUUUGUUUACUUAAUACCAUAUAGUGAGUGGAUUUCUCUAAUUGUGAUGGUGCUGAAAAAGAAUAGAAAAAUCCAAAUUUGUCAGGAUUUUUGGAAACUUAAUGUAGCCACCAAAAAGAAUUACUUCCCAUUACCUUUCACAAAUAGUAUAUUGGAUGCCAUAGCAGAUCAUGAAUGUUAUUCUUUCCUAGAUGGAUUUUUUGGAUGUAAUCAAGUUCAAAUUGUAACAAAAGAUCAGCUCAAGAUGACCUUUAUUAUGAAUUGGGGCACAUUUGCCUAUCGCUUGAUGCCUUUUGGAUUAGAUAACACUCUACCACAUUUCAAAGAGUGAUGACUCGAGCCUUCCAAGACUAUCUCUGGAUAUUUAUGGAGAUCUUUUUAGAUGACUUUUGUGCAUUCAGUACAAAACAAAAUCAUCUUAAUUAUCUAGGAAAAUGUUUGAUUAAGUGUGCUAAGUUUGGAAUAUUAUUGAACUUGAAUAAUUAUCAAUUCAAUGUUCCAUCAAGAAAAUUAUUGGGACAUAUUGUCUCCAGUCAUGAUAUUGCUACAGAUCUUGAAGCAUAUAAUAAACUUAUUCACACUAGAGAUGGUCUCUGGUGUUCGAGAGUUCUUCGAUCAUGUCAGUUAUUAUCGAAAAUUUAUUCAUUUAUUUACAAUUAUUUGUCAAUCUUUGACAAACUUAUUGAAGAAACCUCCAUCAAAUGGGACUAGUUCCAUCUGGACCAUGGAGUGUAUUGUGGCCUUUAAAGCAUUGAAAUCAAAAUUGGUCUCUAGACUAAUAUUGGUAGCCCCUCGUUAGAUGGAGCCCUUUCAUAUAUACAUUGAUACAUGCAAUGUGGCUAUUGGAUUGGUGCUAAGUCAGAAGGAUGGCAAAGGUCUCGAUCAUCCUAUCUAUUAUGCUAAUUAGCAAUUAGUGGCUGUCAAAUGUAAUUAUACUAUUACUCAAAAAGAAGCGUUAGAUAUGAUAUACUCAGUUAAAAAAUUUCAGUACUAUUUGCUUGGGUAUCCGUUUGUAUUUUAUGUGAAUCAUGAUGCCCUCAAAUACAUUAUUAAUAAGUCUCAAUUAAAUAGGUACAUUGUUCGAUGGAUAUUACUCCUACAAGAAUUCAAUUUUACGAUUGUCAUACAAUCUAAGAAGAAACAUGCAAAUAUUGAUCAUUUAUCCUGGUUGUCUAAUAUUCUUGCCAACGAGCCUGUCCUUGAUGCUUUUCUCAAUGCCAAAUUAUUUGUGGUGGAUGUGAUUUCUUCCAAGUAUAAUAUAAUCAUUCAGUUUUUGACCUUCUACACCUUUCCACGGACUUUCAUUGACUAACUUAAGAAGCAACUCAUUCUGAAGAGUGCUCCGUAUAUGAUGAUUCUUGAUGCUUUACAUAAACAAGGCAAAGAUGGUAUUUUAAAACGUUGUAUCUUUCCAACUGAAGUACAAUUGAUACUAGAGGAUUGCCAUUUGGAUAGUUGUAGUGGUUAUUUUACGAAAGAUAUUCUUGCAAGGUUUUAAUGACCAGAUAUUAGUGGUCCAAAAUAUUUUUUGAUGUGCACCAAUUUAUUCAUUGUUGUGAUCCCUAUCAAUGAAUUAGUCGACCCACGGGUACUUCAGUGAUGCCGAUAGUACCAAUCUUGGCACAUACAUCAUUUGAAAAAUGGAGUAUUAAUUUUGUCAGUCCCAUCGCUUUAGCAUCAAAACUUGAGAAGAAGUAGUAUAUUUUAAUUGCCACGGACUAUGUAACAAAAUGGGCAGAGGCUAUUGCUACCCACAAUAAUAAUACUAAUAUAGUAGCCACUUUUCUAUACAAGAAUAUUAUAACUUGAUUUGGGUGUCUAAAGGAAUUGGUUAGAGAUUGCGGCACCCAUUUCAUAAAUGCUACCAUAGCAGCCUUGCCAAACACAUAUGAGAUCACGCAUCAAAAAAUCACUCCAUAUCGUCCUCAUACUAAUGGACAAAUAGAAAAGACCAAUGGAAUUUUGUGCAAAGUCUUGACUAAGACAAUUUUGGGGGUAGGUACUGAUUGGGAGACCAAACUCUUUGUGGCUUUGUAGGCAUAUUGUACCGCAUAUAAAGUAACUACCAAGUCUACCAAUUAGUUUAUGGGCAAGAGACAAUUUUAUCCAUUGAGUUAGAGGUUAAAAGUUUACGGCUUGCCUUGGAUGAACGACUCAGUGAUAAAGAGUCAAUACACUUUCGGUUGGCAAAAUUGGAGGAAUUGGAUGAAAUAUGGGCUAUAAUUCUUUUCAAUAUGGAAGCAAUUCAAAAAUGGAAGAAAAAUUACUAUGAUAGUAAACUGCGUCUAAAGAGUUUUAUGCCCAAUGAUUUGGUAUUACUGUAUAAUAGCCAGUUUAAUUAUUUUUUGGGUAAAUUUUAAGUUCACUGGUAUAGGCCGUAUUGCAUGGUUGAAGGUUUUUUCAAUGAUUUAUUUAAUUGAAGGAUUUCAUGGGCUUACGAUUCAGUAUCCACAUUAAUGGGAACCGAUUAUGGUUAUAUAAUACAUAAAACUCGAGACAUGUUUUCAUUUUUUUAGAGGAGGUGUCUUUGAAUGGACUCAUGGUAGACUUAAUUAUGGUAUAAGUGCAGUAGGAUAUAGAGGCAAUAGAAAGGAUAGUUAGUAAUUACUAAUGUGUUAGAUGGGACAUAGGUGAGAAACAGAUAGUAUGUAUAACAUGUUGUCAUUAUCACCAAGUACUAAGAGAAUAAGAAUGGGGCACUAGUUAGUGAUCAUUCUGUGGUAUCGUUUUGGGUUGUUUUUUUUAGAUUGUCAUUUCUUGUGUUUUUUGUAUAUUCAAGAGUAGUAGUUCUAGUUAAGAGCUUGACCGAGGGAGCAUCAUGGCAAUUGAAAGUGUAAAGCAAGCUACAAACAAAGAAGACAGUGGCCAAAAUGUGAGAGCUAAACGUCCAUCAAAACCGCCUUCUAUAAUAAUGGUUCAGCAAUAUGAGGCUUGGACAAAAGAAAAAGAACACAUCUUAUGAAUUGUCAAAAGAAAAUGGAACAAAUUGAUUCAGAAUUGCAAGACAUGGAAUUUAGAACGGGAGAAACUCAAAUGUCAGUUGCAAGCAAAAAAGGACAAGGUAAAGUUAUUGGGAAAAGUGAAAGCGGUAUUGAAUGACCAAUCUAGAUGUAAAACAAAGAAAUUGAGGUCUAAAAUCAAAGUUUUACAAGUUGAGGUGCCAAAUUGAUGGAAGGGUUAAUUGUGAGGAGUUAGUCACAAGUGUCGAUUGAAAAUAUCUUAAAAUAGAUGAGUCAGCAAUAACAUUAGCUGGUUUUCUAGGAUGCCCAGAUCUUGAAAUUAGAGGCUAAAGUCCGUGAAUUGAGAGAAUAUAAUGAAGAUCUCUCAGCCCAGUUGACAAAGGAGUUGAUGGAAGGAUUGGAAGAGGAGGAAGAUUUGCAAUUAGAAUUAGAAUUGAUGAAACCAAUAACAAAUAAUACAGCAAUUGAUCAAUUAGGAGGGCCAAAGAGGAUAAUAAUUUUAUAGAGUUUUAUUAAGUAGUUUUUAGAUAGGUAUCAAUUGUGUGUUUGUGAAGAUGCUGCACAGAUAGGAGUGGGGCUAUGUAGAAUCAAUAUUAAUUUGUUUUUGAAUUAUAUUGGUAAAAUAUACUAAUAGUCCAUAGAAUAGGCAAUUUAAGAGGAUGGAUGAUUAAUUUAGUUAUUAAACGUGAUUAAUUAGAGAAUUAUGGUUAGAAUCUAGAAAAUCAGAGGAAAUUAUAAAGGAGUUGUAGAAGUUAGUUUAAGGACCAGAUUGUGCUAGUCAUGAGCGAAGGUAAGCUUGGUGCUACUUCUUUCUUUGCUUAUUUCUUGGAUUUUGUUUUCUUUGUAAAAAAAGAGUUAUAGAUAGUUUCUCAAAAAUGUGAAGUAAUAUUUUGGAAUGAAAAGAGAUUUGAUAUUGUCAAAAAAAGAAUUUGAUUUAUUGAAUGUGGAGUUCUACAGUGGUGAAUUAAAAGAAAAUAAUUAGAAAUAUGUGUGAAGAAUAGAUUUGAAUGGAAGGAUUAUAAUACAUUAAGUAUUGAGAAUUGAGAGUGAUUCAUUAGAAGGAGUCUGUAGAGUUUGGAAUUCUGUGAAGAAGUGUAUUGAGAAGGAUAGUUAGUAGUGAAGGAUUCUAAUGUUUGGAUUAUAGAAUGAUUAUGUACUAUCUUUUAGGAUAAUGCGGGCUUACACAUUGUUAUUAUCAAUAAUGGUAGAGUACUAUUAGGAAGUGGAAAACAUUGUGGUGUUCCUUGGUAUUUUCAGUGGUUCAAAAUAUGGUUAAUUGUAUGAUCUUAAGAAGUAAAACUCAUGCGCUUAGUCUUUCCUUGCAUUAGAAUCUCCUUCUACAGAUUUAUUCUGAAAGAAAUUUGUAGAAUAAGUAAAACAAUAAUUACAAAAAUCCACGACAAAGAGCUUCUUGCAAUUGUAGAUUUAUUUUGAGAAUGGUGUCAUCAUCUAGAAGGUACUUCUAACAAAAUCACCGUAUAUAUGAAUCACAAGAAUCUCGAGUAUAUCAUGUCAAUACAUAUUUUAAAUUAUUGCCAAGUCCAUUGGAGCAUGUCUUUAUCAAGAUUUGAUUUCAAGAUCACAUAUCGACUCAAAAAACAACAAGGUUUGUUAGACGCCCUUUCUAAACAUUCUUAUUUUGUACCAAAAGAAGGAGAUGCAUCUUUUGAUUAGCAAAGAACAAUCUCUUGAAGCUAGAGCAUUUUCAUCUUCGAGUAAUGAAAUCAACAUUGAAUGUUGAUUCGACCUUUAUAAAAUAAAUCCAAUCAAGUAUGUCUUCUGAUUCUCUUGUUUUGAAUAUUAAGAAUCCUUCUUCUAAGUCCCAGGAUACUUCUAAGUUUGAAUUCAAAAAUAACCUACUCUAUUUUGAAGGUCAAUUAUAUGUUCCAAAAGGAGAAGUACGAUUACAUUUUUGUGAUGUGGUUUGGCUACUAUAUGAAAAAAAUAUAAUUAUGUACUUAAUAUAUAAUUCAUUAAGUAACAUGGUGAGAGCCAUGUUAGUAGAUUUUAGUUGAUUGUAGAAUAUAAUUUGAUUAUUAUCUUAACAAGAGGUUGUUUAAAAAGAUUACUAUAGAAUUUAUACAACUUUAAUUUCUUUUGUGAUAGUCGCUUUUAAGAUUGGUUUUGGUUGAAAGUAACUUCUAAAUAUUUAGAGUCACCUUUGUUAGACAUUGGUGACCUUUGAAAACUUAUAUUGGUUCUUUUAUUUGGUGUUUAGAGUAUAAAUUAUAUAAAUCUUAUAAAAAAAAGGAUUGAAGAAGGAUUUUGGUAGCAAAGGGAGUAACUAGGGCACCAAUAUAGAUGAAUGGAGAUGGAUGAUGAAAAUCUACAUUCCUAUUGGCCAAAAAUCAUGACUAAUGGGCUUUGAGAAGGCUGCCUGAGGCCAUAUUAGAGAUUAGGGUUAGUUUGUCGAGGCCAUUUGAGCUUUGAAGGAUAGGGUCAGCAAGUUUAGAUUUUUGGCUAUGGUUUUGGUACAAAUCUUGUAUGAUUUGGAGUUUAUAUGAAGGAAAUAUAGGCACUCAAAGUUAAGGUAUUAAUUUGGGAGCUACUAUCACUCUUUUUGACAUAACUCACUGAUACAGAUGGCAAUUAUAGAUCGGCGACUACGAUUCCAAAGACCACUUUUGCGGCUAUACUUUUUGCAUACUAUUUGCUGGAUUUUAAGUUGGGGUAAAGGAGUUAUAAGAUUUUGAAGUCAGUGCAUGCAAUCUAAGGGUGGUAAGUUAUCCAAUUUACUAGUGGUUGUGUCUUGAGCUAUAUCUUGGGAAUUUGAAAAGGUUUUGGCUCAAAAUUUUAGAAAAUGUGAAAUUUUAUGUAAGUAAACUUUGUACAUAAGUUUGAUGACAUUUGAGUAUUGGAUUCUUAAUAUAUUAAAAAAAUAGUGCUCAGGUGCUUGUAAAUUAGGAUUUAGAGCAUAUGCUAGUGUUUCUUAGAUGCCAAAAGUUUAGGAGUGAAUUUACAAUUAGCUAUUUUUGUUGUAAAAUUGAAGGGUUUUUUCUACCUAUUCUAUAAAUUUGAGACAAGCUAAAUAGCUAGAUCAAGAAUUAUGAAUUUUUAAAGUUCAGAAAGAAAAAACCUUUUGUGGAAAAAAUAUGUUUUGAAGGGAUUCUGUUAUAUUUUGAGUUUUAUGCAAAUCAAAGGAGUUUUGAAGCUAAGACAAGAUUCAUAUAAAGGUUUUAGCUAAACUCUCUACAACUAGAUACCUAAUGUAUUCCCAAAUAUCAAAUCACGCUGUACGACAACGUGUUCUUCAAGCAUGUCAUAACUUUUCAAUAGCAAGAUAUUUUGAAUACAAUAAGACUUUGGAGCUUAUAUCUAGAGAUUUUUGGAAGCCACAAAUGUGAAAAGAUGUGAAAUACUUUGUUCAUUCAUGUGAUAUUUGUUCAAGAUCAAGAACUCCUCCUCAUCAAGCUUAUAGACUUCAUCAACCAUUAUCCAUUCCAAAACAACAAUGAUCUUCAAUUUCUAUAGAUUUCAUCAUGGAUUAUUCAAUCUUAGAUUUUUAUGACUCUAUAUUCGUGAUAGUAGAUUGUUUUACUAAGAUGGCAUAUUUUUUACCAUGUAUAAAAUCUAUUAUAUGUAAAGAAAUAGCUAAGCUAUUUCUUAACAACAUCUAUUGCUAUCAUGGAUUAUCCAAAGAUAUUAUAUUGAAUAAGAAAACUCAAUUUGUAUUAAGAUUUUGGUGGACUCUUUUUAAGUUUCUAAAAGUGGAUAUAAAACUAUCUUCGACAUUCCAUCUUCAAACUGAUAGACAAACGAAGUGUAUUAAUCAAGUUUUAGAGCAGUAUUUAAGAUGUACCAUUAACUACCAACAAGAUGAUUGGACAACUCUUUUGCCAUUGGCAGAGUUUGCUUACAAUAACAGAAUAUAUUCUUCUAUAAAAAAAACAUCUUUCUUUUCCAAUUAUGGUUAUCAUCUAUGACUUGAUACUUUUGACUUUUUAAAAGCUGAUAAUCUUACGGUGAAAGAUUUGGUAAAUCAUUUAUCAAAGCUACAUGCAACAAUAAAAGCGCAGUUAAAAGAAGCUCAAGAACAACAAAAGAUCAAUGUAGAUGUCUAUCAAAAGGAAAAACUACCAUUCUAUGCGGGUGAUAAGGUAUGGUUACUUUGUCACAAUAUCAAGACCACUCGUAUUUGUGAUAAGUUGGACUAUCAAAGACUUGGACCAAUUUCUAUUUCUAUACAAAUCAAUCCAGUUGCAUAUCGUUUACACCUAUCGGAGUCAAUAAAAAUCCAUCUAGUAUUCCACGUGUCUCUUCUUGAAUCAUACAAGACAAUGGACAUAUCAAGAAGAAGACAAGCUCUACCUCCUCCCAUAGAAGUGGACAAUAAUGAAGAGUUUGAAGUGGAAGAAGUCUUAGAUUCAAGGUGACACCGAAAUAAAUUAGAAUAUCUUGUUCAUUGACACGGAUAUGAUAUUAGUGAACGCACAUGGCAGCGAGUAAAGAAUCUUACAAAUGCAGCAAAGGCGAUGGAGGCUUUUCAUCGAUGACAUCCAUCAAAAUCAAGAUGAAAACCUUCUCUAUAAAAGAAAAAAGAUCUAGGCAAGAUAACAUUCUACUUUCAAUCCUUAUUUGUAGCUUCUUUAUAGUUGUGAUGCUUAAGAGAUGGAGAACCAACAACCAGUGGAUUCAACUCAAGAGUCUUGAUUUGUUGACUUGUCGAACGAAACAUUGUGAUUGUGAUAACCUUCAAGAUGAUGCAAUCAAGAUGAAGAUCCUCAAGAAUAACAUAUUUUUCCUCGAAUUGAUGGCAAAAUACAAUGCGUUUGAUAUCACGACCUUAGAAGAGACUCCCAAUGUUUGGUAAUUUCAUUAGAGGUAUGAACAACUCCCAACUGUUUUUUAAAUAUUUUAUUUGAAGAAAGUUAUGAAGGCAUCAACAAUGAUCUGAUAACUGGGUGGUCUUCUCGCCCUGAUAUAGGAUACUAUCAAUGGUUGAGAGGCCCUAUCAACUAUCUUCAAAGAGAAUAAAAAUCUAAAUAUGUAGUAAAUAUAAUUUGUUGCAUCAUACAUUUCCUCAAUAUAUGAUGACCACUCCUUGUGGAACUCGUCCCUAGAAGGAGUGGUAAUGUCAUGGACAUAUACAUGUAAGCGAGUAAUUACAUGUAUAAAUAAAUAGAAGUAAGUAGAAAUAAAUAAAAAUAAAUUAAUUCUAUAAUAUCUUCUACGAAAGCUUUUUAGAAGCUUUCUAAAAAUUGCUUUGACUUUAUAGGUAUCUUUAAUUGACUUUUUGGAUAAGAAAUAUAAUAAACAAGUUGGCCAUGUGCCACACAUGUUGUUGGAUUGAAGACCAAGCUAACUAUGUGGCCCACACAUAAAAAAAGUUGCCUUGUAAGUCAAGAUAUGUGUCCUACUGUUAGGGAUAUAGUCCUUAGAGCCUUCUAGAGACAAGUUUCUAGAACCUUCUAGAAGCAAGUCUCUGGAACCUUCUAGAAGCUUCUUAGUUGGUAGAAGAUAUUAGGGACAUAGUCCUUAGAACCUUCUAGAAGCAAGUCUCUGGAACCUUCUAGAAGCUUCCUAGUUGGUAGAAGUUGCUUGAAAAGCUUCCUAAAUAAGAGUAUAUAUUGGAAUCGAGGCUGAAGAGUUCUUCAGUCUUGACAACACAUCUCUUGGAGCUCUAGCUCACCUCUUUGGUGUUAUUUUUGUAUUCAUUUGAUUAAUCUAGUUCUUGCGUGUUCUUCUUGAACUUCUUAUUAGAUCUCAAGUCUGUAUUUUUGUGUCCGUGACAAUUUAUCGAGACUUCACUCACCUCAAAUAUAAGAGCUAGUUUCUUCCUCGUUAGAGUGCGGAUUACCCCUCUGCUUGGAAGUGUACUAGCAUUUUAGAGGUUGCGGAUUACCCUCCUCUAAACUGAUACUUCUUUUGUUAUAAUAUUGGAGUCUUAUUCUUCUUGGAGAGAGUGGAUUACCCCUUUUCUUGAAGUUCUUAAGGCAUUUUAGAGGUUGCGGAGUACCCUCCUCUAAACCAAUAUUGUCUUCUUGUAGAGUCAUUUCUGUCCUUCUCUUAGAAUGGCCGGAGGCCAAGACAUUAGUAUGAUGGAAAGUUCGGAGUCCAAGUUGGAUGCUAUCAUGAAUGCCCUCGCUACGUUAUCGCAAAGAACUGUAGAGAUUGAAGGAGUUGUGGUAAGGCUUCAUAAUGAUAGAGCAUGUGGGAUGGCACAAUCUAGGUUACAUCAGCCUCAUACUUCUACACUUGGAGAAACAACUUUGCCUCACGUUUGACAAGCACCACUGGUUCUACAACAUAAUGAGUCGCGAGUUAGCCUUUCGGACAAGUUUGAUGGUAUGCAUUCCAAGUUUCGAGGAUUCGUCAUUCAAAUCAAGUUGAUAACAAUUUUACAGCCAGAACGCUAUCCAACAGAGGAGUCACGUGUUGGGCUUGUUGGAACCUUACUUACAGGGCAAGCUCUAUCAUAAUUUGCUCCUUUGUUUGAGAAACGAUCGUCCAUACUAAACAACUUUGAAAUCUUUUUGGAGGCGUUUACGGAAGCAUUUGGUAAACAUGACAAGGUUCGAUGGGCUACAACAAAGAUCCGAUCACUAUGACAAGGGAUGUGCUCUACAUCAGUCUAUGCAUCGGACUUCACGCAAUUAGCAUACGACAUCAAUUGGAAUGAAGAAGCGUUGAUGAGUCAAUUCUAUUGGGAUUUAAAAGACAAUGUGAAGGAUUUGCUGUUAACUCUUCUUGAUCUGCAAACGCUCAACGAAGCUAUUAGUCAAGCUGUAAAGUACAAUAAUCGCCUAUUCCAACGCCGCCAAGACCAAUGUUCAAGGCAACAUACGGUUCACCACGUCCCAAUUAUGUGGGCAAGCAGCAUGAAUUCAUAUUCAGAAGUAGAAGACAUGCAAAUUGAUGUAGCUAGUGUCAAAUCCCUUACUCUAGAAGAAAAAAAGCGGUGCAUGGAGGAAGGUCUAUGCUUGUAUUGCGGUGAAGAAGGCCACAAAGUUAGAAACUAUUUUAAGAAGCAAAAUCCACGUAUUGUCAGGACUAAGGGCACAUUUGUUCAAGAAAACGAAGAUGCCCAGCCACAAUAGGAACCGUGCGACUGGACAAUGAAAUAUCGCAACAACAACUAGGUUCUUUUCUUUCCGCUCAACGUGCCCUUUGCUUUACAAUCCUUUUGCUUAUUAGUCCUCAAAAACUGAGAACCUUAGCAUUAUUAGAUUCAGGAGCAUCUGCUUGUUUCUUAGACGAAGAAUUUGCGAAGCGUCAUAAGAUCCUUUUAGUACAAAAAUCCAAACUUGUUCACGUCGAGGUCAUAGAUGGACGACUUUUAUUGUCUGGUAGUGUCAUCUAUGAAUUAGAAUAAAGAAAUCUUUAUUCAUUGGAGCAAGAGCGUUUAUAAGAUCAUCUAAGGAAGGUACACUAUUUGUCAUUUAUGUGGCUCCAACUAUCGGGGAGAAGAUCUCGACAGCAAGUAUACCUGAGCAAUAUAAGGAUUUUAAAGACGUGUUUUAAAAGAAGAAUGCCGACAUGCUACCGAAACACCAACCAUAUGAUUGCGCCAUAGAUUUAUAGGAAGAAGCACAACCACUUUUUGGCCCAAUCUACAAUCUAUCGCACAUGGAGUUGGCAGAAUUGCGAAAGUACAUCGAUGAGAAUCUAGCCAAGAACUUCAUCCGUCAUUCAAAAUCGUCAGCUGGAGUACCCAUCUUAUUUGUGAAGAAGAAAGAUGGUUCGUUGCGGAUGUGCAUGGACUAUCGAGGCCUCAACAAGGUAACAAAGAAGAAUCAUUGUCCGUUACCCUUGAUUUCUGGUCUCUUAGAACAUCUUGGACAUGCAAGGAUCUUUACAAAAAUUGAUCUAAGAGGAGCUUACAACCUCGUAAAAAUCAACGAAAGAGAUGAAGGGAAGACAGCGUUUCGUAUAAGGUAUGGCCAUUUUGAGUAUAAUGUCAUGCCCUUUGGUCUUACCAAUGCUCCAGCGGUCUUUCAACAUAUGAUGAAUGACAUUUUCCGACAGCACCUUGACAAUUUUGUUGUCAUUUAUUUGGAUGAUAUUUUGAUAUUCUCCAAUAACGAGGAAGAGCAUGAAAAGCACGUUCGUUUGGUCUUAGAGAAACUACGCAAGCAAGGACUAUAUGCCAAGUUGGAGAAGUAUUUAUUUCACCAAAUAGAGAUGGAGUUUCUGGGAUUCGUUGCGACUACGAAAGGCUUGAAGAUGGACCCCAAGAAGGUGGAAGCAAUUGUAUCUAGGGAGGUUCUGAAGAUGAUUAGAGACGUACAAUGCUUUCUUGAUUUUGCCAACUUCUAUCGGAACUUCAUCAAGAAUUACUCUCAAGUUGCUGCUCCUCUCACUCGGUUGACAUGCAAGGAUAAGCUGGAAUGGGAACCUCUAGCAGAGAAGGCAUUUCAAGACCUGAAGAUCGCAUUUAUUAUGGCUCCAAUCUUGGUACAUCCAGACUUUAUAAAGGCCUUUUAUUUGAAAAUUGAUGCUUCGGAUUUAGCUUUGGGAGCUGUACUUUCACAAAUGGGAGAAGACAAGAAGCUCCAUCCAAUUGCAUUCUAUUCUCGAAAGUUCUCUGCUGCUGAAAUCAAUUAUGAGAUCCACAAUAAGGAACUUUUUGCUAUAGUGGAUUCUUUCCAAGAAUGGCGUCACUUUCUUGAAGGAGCUGUACACCUAGUGAUCAUAUACACAGAUCACAAGAAUUUGGAGUAUUUCAUGUCGACUUCAGUUUUAAAUCGACGUCAAGCUCAGUGGAGUAUGUUACUAUCUAGGUUCGAUUUUGUUAUCACUUAUCGACUUGGAAAGUAGUAAGGACUAUCUAAUGCCUUAUCGAAGAGAUCGUAUCUUGUAUCAAAGGCUGAAGAAGCAAAGUUUGAUCAACAAUAUAUGACAUUGUUGAAGCCAGAGCAAUUUUGGCUUUGUGCUACUAUUGUGUCAAUUGAUGCUGGCUUCCUAAAUCAAGUACAUGUCGUGACUAUUGAAGAUUCAAUAGCCAUUGAUAUUAAGCAGUGUGCCAAUGAUGACAAGUUCAAGGUGGAGGAAGAUCUUUUAUACUUUGAGGAGCGGUUGUAUAUCCCAAAAAGACCAGCACAACUCCGAGUUCUUCAAUCUCACCAUGAUUUUUCAACUGUGGGAUAUUUUGGAUUCAAUAAGAUAUUAGAGCUUAUUUCUCGAGAUUUUUGGUGGCCCCAAAUGUAGAAGGAUGUGAAAGAUUUUGUCCUCUCCUACGACAUCUGUUCAAAAUCCAAGAAUCCUCGAUAUCGCCUUUAUGGACUCCUACAACCAUUGUCGAUUUUACGUCGACCAUGGUCUUCUAUUUCCAUGGACUUCAUCACGGACCUGCCUUCAUCGAACUCAUUUGACAGCAUCGUUGUCGUGGUAGAUCGGCUUACAAAGAUGGCACACUUUAUCCCUUGUAAGAAGACAUCAUCCAGUGAAGUCACAACAAGGUUCUUUCUCGAUAAUGUGUAUCGAUAUCAUGGACUAUUAGAUGAUAUCAUAUCAGAUCGAGGAACCCAAUUCGUAUCAAAGUUUUGGAGAUCUCUCUUUGAGAUACUAAAGGUGGAUAUCAAGCUUUCUUUGACUUUUCAUCCUCAAACUGAUGGCCAAACGGAACGGGUGAACUAAGUCUUAGAACAAUACUUAUGAUGCAGCAUCAACUAUCAAUAAGAUGAUUGGACCACAUAUCUGCUGCUAGCCGAGUUUGCAUAUAACAACACCUUCCAUGCGUCAACUCAAUAUACACCAUUCUUUUCCAACUAUGGGUAUCAUUCGAAGCUUGAUUUAUUGAGUCUAUCAAUAAAUAACAAUCCAGCAACUGAAGGAUUUGUGAAUCAACUAUCAGAGCUUCAAAAUAUGUUGAAGCUUCAAUUUCAAUCCGCUCAAGAAUCCUACAAGGCAUCUGCAGAUAGAUUUCAAAAUCAAGCACCUACUUUUAAAAUUGGAGAUAAAGCAUGGCUUCUUUGACAAAAUAUCAAGACCAAGCGACCAUGUGAUAAGUUGGACUAUCAAAGAUUGGGACCAUUUAUCAUCCAGAAGCAAAUCAAUCCAAUGGCAUACCGUUUAGAAUUACCGGCUUCUAUGAAGGUACAUCCAAUCUUUCAUGUUUCUCUGUUAGAGCCUUAUCAAGAGUCGUCUUUUUUUGGAAGAGUGCAAUGUCUGCCACCUCGUAUUGAGAUCGAGAACCACAAGGAAUAUGAGGUUGAAAAGGUGCUGGAUUCACGACAAAGGUGGGACAAGUUAGAGUAUCUUGUUCAUUGGUGCGGCUACGACAUUAAUGAGCAAACGUGAGAGCCAGCUGAAAAUCUUGCCAAUGCACUGCAAAAGGUACAUGAGUUUUAUCAACAACAUCCUCAUAAACCUAAGCCGGUUCGACGAUAGCUUCUUUCUAAAACUUGCUCACCGAAGAAUAUAAGAAAGAAAAAGAGCACCACCAAAAUUCACAGUUGAUGUAGUUAUUUUCUCUAAGAUAAAGUAGAAUUUUUUCAGUAGCCAUAGUUUGGUCUUCUGAUAUGGAUAGCCAAGAGAUAGAUACUAUGCCAGUCAGAUUAUCUCAACCGACUAGCUCACGAAGGCGACCCCGAGAUGAAGAACCGCCUAUACCACGAUGACGACGGAGGAUAUCGAGUAACUGAUCACUGGUGAUUGUAUUUGAGUUCAAGGCUACUUACAAUGGUUAGCCAGAAGGCAUAUUUAUAGGACAAUUUCACAAUGAGGACACGGAAGUUCAUACUUGGUCUAAAGUUGAAGAAGUGGGCCACUACCGUUGGCUUCAAGGACCGAUGAACCACUAGCCUCGUGAACAACAGUUGGAAUUCAUAGCAGACGUUAUGCGACAAAUCUUCAUUUUCUUGCAUUGGUACUGAUUAACAAUAAUAUUGCUUCUCACAGACCUCGAAGUUAAAAGAAGAGGUGAUGUUAGAGACAUAGUCCUUAGAAACUUCUAGAGAUAAGUUUCUAGAACCUUCUAGAAGCAAGUCUCUGGAACCUUCUAGAAGCUUCUUAGUUGAUAGAAGAUGUUAGGGACUUAGUCCUUAGAACCUUCUAGAAGUAAGUCUCUGGAACCUUCUAGAAGCUUCUUAGUUGAUAGAAGAUAUUAGGGACAUAGUCCUUAGAACCUUUUAGAGACAAGUUUCUAGAACCUUCUAGAAACAAGUCUCUGGAACCUUCUAGAAGCUUCGUAGUUAGUAGAAGUUAUUUGAGAAGCUUCCUAAAUAGGAGUUUAUAUUGGAAUCGAGGUUGAAGAGUUCUUCAGUCUCGACAACACAUCUCUUGGAGCUCUAGCUCACCUCUCUAGUGUUGUUCUUGUAUUCAUCUGAUUAAUCUAGUUCUUGCCACUUCUUCUUGAACUUCUUGUUAGAUCUCGAGUCUGUAUUUCUGUGUCCGUGACACCUACAAAGUCAACAUAUAUUAGAGGUUCUAUAAAAUAUCGCCAUGUAGUCCCUAGUUAGAUAUUAUAUAUAGAGAGAAGAGUGAAGCCUCCUUCACUCUUAUAAACUCUUUUUUUGCUUCUAGUCCAGUUUCAAGAGUUCUAAGUUUCCUUGUCUUUGGGCAAUAGGUGUCACAGACAUAUGCAUCUAAGCCAAUAAUUACAUAUAUAAAUAGGUAGAAAUAAGUAAAAGUAGAUAAAAGUAAAUUAAAUCUAUAGUAUUUGAUAUGGAAGCUUCUUAGAAGCUUUAUAGAUACUACUUUGACUUUAUAGGUAUCUUUAAUUAACUUUUAGGAAUGAAAAACGUAGUGAACAAGUUGGCCAUAUGCCACACAUAUUAUUAGCUUGAAGACCAAACUAAUUAUGUGGCCCAUACGUAAAAAAACUUGCCUUGUAAGUCAAGGCAUGUGUCCUAUAAAGUCAACCUAUAUUGGAGGUUCUAUAGAAUGUCGCCACGUAGCCCUUAUUAAGAUAGUAUAUAUAGAGAUAAGAGUGAAGCCUUCUUCACUCUUGUCAACUUCUUUCUUACUUUAAAUCUAGUUUCAAGGAUCCCUAGUAUUUUUGGCUUUUGGCAAUAGCCAUUCCAAUUUCUUUCUUAAUACACAUAUGAAGUUAUUUCUAUUUUGUUAUCUUUCGUUGAAAAAAGUCUCACUUGUUUAUUUAUCUUUAUCAUAUUCUUGUCCUUGACAGAUUGAUAAGAGUAUACUUACAAUAUCAAAGCUUUGUCUAAUCUUAAUUAAGAAAAGAUUACCCCUUUUUCUUAAUAAGACACAAGUAUAUUAGAACUUACGGAUUACCCUCUUCUAAACUGAUAUUGUCGUUAGUAUUUUCUUUAUUCUCAAGUCUUCUCUUCUAUUUGUCUUGAGUGAUAUUAGACAUCUUCUCUUUUCUAAGUGUUAUCAUGGCAGAACUUGCUGAAAUGAAGAGUGCAAUGGCACAAAUACAAGAGCAAUUGAGGGAAUUAAUGUUUGCGAUGCAUCAACUCAAUUUACCACCAUAAGAAGCAAUAAGAUUAACAGGAAGUGAAGAUAUAGAAAUGAUUGGAGCUACUUCAAGAUCUGCACCAAAUUAUGUCCCUUCUCCUAUGGUGGAACGUCCUUCUAGUGUUAGAGAACCAAGAAUUAUCCUACCCGAGAAGUUUGAUGGUACCAGAUCUAAGUUUCAAAGAUUUAUCAAUCAAGUGUAACUUGUGAUUGAACUUCAAUCUCAAAGCUAUCCAACUCCAAGAUCACAAGUUAGAUUGAUUAGUAUGCUUCUUUCAAAUUCAAUGCUAUCAUGGUUUUCAUCUUUUUUUGAACGAGAAGAUCUAAUAUUGGAUAAUCUAGAGAUUUUUCUGGUAGAGUUUUCAUCCAUGUAUGGAGAAAAUGAUGAAAUUCAUGUUGCAACCAAUAAGAUCUAUAUUUUACGACAAAAUAAUCGAUUAGUAACGUUGUAUGCUUCACAAUUUCAUCAACUUGUAAAUGAUAUCAAGUGGGAUGAUGCCGCACUUAUUAGCCAAUUUCUCUACAGAUUAUAAUAUGAAGUAAAAAAAUUAAUGCUCAACUCACCUGAUCCUCAAACAUUGAGUCAAGCAAUUCACUUUGCUAUCAAGUGCAACAAUCGCUUUUUUGAAUUUCAAUCUGAGAACCGUACAAGUAGACCUCAACAUAACUAUAAUUCAAUAGCAAUACCAAUAUCUCUUUAAUACAUACAUUUGGAAGUAGAGGAUAUGUAAAUUGAUGCGGUACGUUUCAAACCUCUUACUAAGCAAGAAAAGUCUCGUUGUCGUCAGGAAGGAUAGUGCUUAUAUUGUUAAGAACCUAAGCACACUGCUCAACAAUGCUCAAAGAAGCGAUGUAACCAUAAAAUGAGGAGUAUGGCGAUCAAAAGAGAUAGCAUGUUGGAAAACGAGUUUAUCUAGCUACAAUAGGGACCGUGCGACUAGAACCUUAUACAACACCUAGUCAAGGUCCUAUCUUCUCUUCAGAAUCCUCUCCAUGUUUUAUAAUAAAUAUUAUUCUAGGACCUAAACAUCUCGAAGCCUCUACCUUGCUAGAUUCAAGAGCCUCAGCAUGUUUCUUAGAUGAAAAAUUUACUAAAAGAUAUAGCAUAUUUUUUAAAAAGAAAACUAAAUCUUUUCAUAUAAAAAUCAUAGAUGGUGGUGCGUUAACUUUAGGAGAUGUUACUCAUGAAAUCCUUCCUAUAGAAAUAGCAACUAAUGGUCAUAGUAGCUUUGUAAUAUUUAAUAUCAUUAGAUUUCUUUCUAAUCCAAUCAUUUGAGGUUUAUCAUGGCUAGAAAAAUAUAAUCCUAAAAUAGAUUGGACUUCUCAUAGUCUUAACUUUUCUGAAAGUAUAACUAAGAGUGUAGUUAAUCAAGUAAAAAGUCAUAAGUCUAGUAUAAUUAAACCUAAAUUUGUAGGUACAAGUGCUUUCUUGCAUGCUUCAAAAGAAGGAUCAUCUUGUGUCAUUUAUGCCAUACCUGUUUCUAUUCGUGGAAAGACUUCAAGUAGCAUUCCAAGCCAAUAUCAAGAUUUUCAAAAUGUAUUUGAAAAAAAGAAUGCAGAUACUCUUCCAAAAUAUCGUUCCUAUGACUGCUUAAUUGAUCUUCAAGAAGGAGCACAACUACCAUUUGGACCAAUUUCCAAUUUAUCUCAAAAUGAGUUGGCUGUACUCAAAGAGUAUAUUGAAGAGAAUUUGGCCAAGAACUUCAUAUGCCAUUCCAAAUGUCUAGCAGAAGCUCCAGUUUUAUUUGUAAAGAAAAAAGAUCGAUCAUUGAGGAUGUGUGUUGAUUAUCAAGGACUCAACAAAACAACUAUCAAAAAUAGGUACCCGCUAUCUUUGAUAUCUGGACUUCUUGAUCAGUUGAAUCAAGCUAGAAUCUAUACAAAAAUAGAUCUACAGAGAGCAUACAAUUUGGUACGCAUCAAAGAAAGAGAUGAAUGAAACACUACAUUUCAAAUAAAUUAUGAAUAUUUUGAAUACAACGUUGUAGAAUAGAUAUUAAUUUAUUUUUGAAAUAUAUUGGUAAAAUAUAUUAAUAGUCCAUAUAAUAGGAAAUUCAGGAGGACGGAUGAGUGAUUUAAUUAUUUAAAGAAGUUAAUUACAGAAUUACGAUUAGAAUCUGGAUAAUUAGGGGAAAGUAUAUAGGAGUUGUAGAAGUUAAUUAAGGUGCCAUCAUUGUGAUAGUUAUGAGCCGGGGUAAGUUUGGUGCUACUUCUUUUCUUUUGUUUGUUAUUUUCUUUGAAUAAGAGGAUUGAAAGUUUCAAAAUAUUGUGAAGUGAAUUAUGGAAUGGAAAUAUGAUUGGUAUUAUUUGAAAAGAAGAAAGAUUGAAUGCUGAAAUCUAAUUGUAGUUCAGCAGAGAGAAUGAGUCUGUGUUUGUGUGAAACACCGUAAUGUGAAUAGCAGUUCUGUGUGAAGAAUUCCAGUGAUUAGAAUGAAGGUAAUUGUAUGCUGAAAGCUGUGAGGGCACAGCAUUACAGUUGGAGAUUAUGAGGGUAAAUAUAUUGGUAGAAAUAGCAGUUAUUGGUAUGAUUGAAUUGUUGUAAGGAAGAGAUCGAUAAGGUGAAGGAGGAGAUUAUAGUUUCCUUGUGUGUUCAGAUAUUAGAAAUAGAGACAAUACAUUCAGGAGGUAAUUGAUUGUGUGAUCCUAAUGUGAAAGCUUAAGAAACUAGUCAUUCUCCAUGUUCGAAUCCCCUAUACAGGUUUAUUUCCAUUAGAUUAAUUUGAAAUAAGUAAAACGAGCAAUCACAUUUUGGUGCUCGUGUCGAGGAGUGAUAAUAGCUGUGAGUAUUAGGAAUUAAUUACCAAACAUGUGAAAAAAUUGGCAAUAGAAGACGAUUUCAGUAGUGUUUGAAGUAAGAGUAUAGUUAUUAAGAAUGAGAAUUUAACAGCAAAGAAAAUAAAGCAAUCAAAAAAAAGAAUAGAGAGAUCGCAAGUAAGAAAUUUGUUGCGUAAUGAGCGAGAUCGCAAAUUAAAAAAGAAGCAUCGAAAAAGUUGGAUUAAGCCAUGGUUGCAUGUUUGUCGGCAUAUUCGAUGGUAUCCAGAAGAUAAUCGACCUCUAAUAUUUCAGAAGUACAUAUCGUUAAAAAAAUUGCCAAGAGCACUCGUGGGGAGCAUUGUUAAUAGUCCAGCAUACCUCUCGAAGCCAUUAACGAAAAGCAAGGAAGGCACAGAGGAAAUAGGUAUUCCAUUGGGUAUUUUUUCAAUUGGAGAUACGUCCAAUUCUAACAAGACUGCUUCUGAAGAUUAGCAUAAAUCACUUGCCAAUAAAGACCAAUUCAGAGUAUAUUUAAACUUAUCAUUUUCACCUCAUAUUCAACCAGUAAAAUUAUUUAGAGAUAAUAAUAGUCAAUCGAGAAGGCCUGGAAGUCUGAAAAAGACUUUUGCAAGAGAUAAUUUUUAUUUUAAUAAGGAAUUGAACAAAACACCAACAUCUUUAAUGGGAUCUAGAGGACCAGCAGUUCUAAUUGCAGUUCAAAUGAAUGCAGUAGGCGUUCGUAUGUCUAGUGUUGUGUCACUACCUACUUUUCAAGGAUUUCUGGGUACAGAUCCUGAUAAACAUUUAUCUCGGUUUCUUAUAGUAUGUGUAGCUAAUAAUGGCAAAAUUGAAGAUAUUUGGUUGCGAUGGCUGCCAGUGACAUUGAAAGACAUAGUAUUUGAGUGGUAUAACUGCUAACCUGUGGGUCAAUUUCUGAAUUGGGAAGCAUUGAAGAAUGCAUUUUUAUCUCAUUUUUGGCUAAUUGAUUUUAAGGACUGCCUUCCAGAGAAGUUAAUAAACAGCAAAAUGAUCCUAGAGGAGGCGGUGGAAUUGUACUAUGGCCGAAUGGCUGAUAUACUCAGUAAGUGGUCAAAUCACCAAAUACAGGAGGUAUUUAUCUUAUCCAUAUUAAUCAAUGGUUUGCACCUACCAGAGCUAAAAAUGUUUGUAAAGGAAGCUCAAAUCAUUACGGUGGUUGUGUCCCUUAAUAGAGCCAAGGUUUGAGUAGAAUGCCAUUAUGAUCAGUUUUUAACCGCGGGAGCUACGAUGAUUCUAGUUCAAGGUAGAUAUUAAAAUCCGACUUAGAACAAAUGAGUGGGUAGUUAUCCACGGAUGUUAGAAACAUGAGCCCAUUCCAAUACCAAUAUUCAAGGGCCAGUUAAUGUCACCACAUUACAAGCUAUACCAUCGAAUGUGACAACAACAUAUGCUCCAUAUUAUCCAUAUCAACAACAAGCAUUAACUACGGCAGAGAUACCAAUAAUGUCAGCGUUAAAAGAUUCCAAUGAAACCUUGUUAUUGAAUUUGAUGAAGAAAAUGGAAGAAAUGGCCAUCAAUAUGGCCAAAGAUAAGGAGAAUAGGCAAAAGCCUACCAAUACUAGGACCAAUGUAUGGUGCAGUAAUUGUGAGGGCCAUGAUCAUUCUAUAACACAAUAUCCAUCAUCCUCACAAAUAAUGGAUCACUGUACAUUUUGUAGAGGAAAGCACCUAAUAGCAAAUUGUUGGAAUUGGCAAAGACAACAACAAUAAUUUAGUAAUCAGACCAUGAUCCCACCAACCCAAUGAGACGUCAAUCAAGUACAAACAAAAAAUACGUUUGGAUGGAAUAGAAAUCGAUUUAAUCGAUAAAAUUGAGCAUUCAAUAACUUUCAAAGUUCCAAUUUUAAUCAGGAGUUUGCAUCGAACCCUCAAAACUACGGUAAGGAGCAACAGAGGUAUCAGCAAUAUGCUCCACCGACGUCAUUAAACCAAGUUCUCUCAGUACCAACGGGACAACCAGGAUCAUUUUUUAAUCCUACAUGAAACAAGCCUAGUAGGUAUAUACCAGUGGAGGCACCCAAUAUGCCUGAUGGGAGUGCAAGAAGACCACUUUGUUGUUUCCAUUGCAGAUAGAUUGGUCAUUAUGCCAAUGAAUGUCUCAAUUCCAGAGCCAGUGAUGAUUAUGCACCAGUUUGUAGAAAUUGCAAGCAGUAGAAGCAUAUGUAUCAGCAAUGUAAUGCUCUAUUCAAUUUCAAUAAUCAGGAUCAGCAAAUCCAAAGCCUAGGAAAUAUUGAGGAGAUAAAUUGAGGUCCUCAAGAUUCUCCAGUAAAUUGGAUGGAAUGUGUCCAAACCGUUCUUACCCAGAGUCAGCAAAAGAGAAAAGGACCAAUUCAAUAUUUGGAUAAUUGUAGAAUAGAUAUUAAUUCGUUUUUGAAAGACAUUGAUAAAAUAUAUUAAUAGUCUAUAUAAUAAGAAAUUCAGGAGAACAGAUGAGUGAUUUAGUUCUUAAAAGUGGUUAAUUACAGAAUUAUAGUUAGAAUGUGGAGAAUCAGGAGAAAGUAUAUAGGAGUUGUAGAAGUUAAUUAAGGUGCCAUCACUGUGAUAGUUGUGAGCCGGGGUAAGCUUGGUGCUACCUCUUUUCUUUUAUUUGUUAUUUUCUUUGAAUAAGAGGAUUGAAAGUUUUUGAAUAUUGUGAAGUGAAUUAUGGAAUGGAAAUAUGAUUGGUAUUAUUUGAAAAGAAGAAAGAUUCAAUGCUGAAAUCUGAUUGUAGUUCAGCAGAGAGAAUGAGUCUGUAUUUAUGUGAAACACCGUAAUGUGAAUGGCAGUUUUGUGUGAAGAAUUCCAGUGAUUGGAAUAAGGGUAAUUAUGUGCUGAAAGCUGUGAGGGCCCAGUAUUACAAUUGGAGAUUAUGAGGGUGAAUAUAUUGGUGGAAAUAGCAGUUAUUGAUUUUACUGAAUUGCUGUAAAGAAGAGAUCGAUAAGAUGAAGGAGGAGAUUAUAGUUUCCUUGUGUGUUCAGAUAUUAGAAAUAGAGACAAUACAUUCAGGAGGUAAUUGAUUGUGUGACCCUAAAGUGAACGCUUAAGCAACUAGUCAUUUUUCAUGUUCAAAUCUCCCUAUAUGGGUUUAUUCUGGGAGAUUUCUUCCAAAAUAAGUAAAAUAAAAACCACAUUUUGGCACCGCUAUCGGAGAUUGAUAACAUAAUUGAGUGUUAGGAAUUAACUGUUGAAGCAGUAAAGGAGAUUAAGAAGCAAAUUCAGUAGAAAUAAUGAAAGAGUAUGGUUAUUAAGAAAAUGAGAAUUUAACAGCAAAGAGAAUAAAGCAAUCAAAGGAAAGAAUAGAGCAAUCGCAAGCAAGAAAUUUAUUGCGUAAUGAGUGAGAUUACAAAUUAAAAAAAAAACAUCGAUAAAGUUGGAUUAAGCUGUGGUUGCAUGCUUGUCAACAUAUUUGAUCGUACCCAGAAGAUGAUCGACCUCUAAUAUUUUAGAAGUAUAUACCAUUAAAGAAAUUACUAAGAGCACUCACGAGGAGCGCUGCUAAUAGUCCAGCAUACCUCUCGAAGCCGUUAAUGAAAAGCAAGGAAGGCACAGAGGAAAUAGGUACCCCAUUGGAUAUUUUUUCAAUUGAAGAUACGUCCAAUUUUAACAAGACUGGUUCUGAAGAUUGGCAUAAAUUACUUGCCAAUAAAGACCAAUUCAAAGUAUAUCAAAACCUAUCAUUUUCACCUCAUAUUCAACCAGUAAAAAUAUCUGGGGAUAAUAAUAGUGAAUCGGGAAGGCUUGGAAGUCCGAAAAAGACUUUUGUGGGAGACAGUUUUUGUUUUAAUAAGGAAUUGAGCUGAACACCGGCAUCUUUAAUGACGUUCGGAGGACCAACAGUUUUGAUUGUAGUUCAAAUGGGUGUAGUAGGUGAUCAAUUGACUAGCGUCGCGCCAUUACCUACUUUUUCGAGUUUACCUAGUCCGGAUCCAGAUCAAUAUUUUUCUCAAUUCUUGACGACAUUUGUAUCCAAUAAUAGAAGAACAAAAGACAUUUGGCUGAGAUAGCUGCCAGUAACAUUGAAAGACACAGUGUUUGAAUAGUACAACUGCCAACCUGUGAGACAAUUUAUCAAUUGGGAGGCAUUGAAAAAUAUAUUUUUAGCCCAUUUUUGACCAAUUGGUUUUGAAGAACGUCUUAGAGAAAAAUUAAUGACUAGCAGAAUGGUACCAAGGGAAGCAGUACAAUCAUAUUAUGGUCGUGUAGCAAAUAUACUUCAAAAAUGGCCAAAUAACCAAAUACUGGAAUCGUUUGUGUUGUCUAUAUUGGUUAAUAGACUACACCCACCAGAAUUGAAGAUGUUUGUAAAGGAGGCCCAAUCAGCCACCAUUGCAUCAUCUCUUGAGCGAGCGAAAGUAUGGGAGGAAUGUCACUAUGACCAGAACUUAAUAGUUGGAGCCAAGAUGAUUCCAUCUCAAAGAGGUUAUCAAAUGACAACUUGGAAUGACGCAUCAAGAAGUUAUCUGGGAAAGAAUGAAUAUGGUACAAUUCCACAGGGAAUAGUAGAAGUCGUUCCAUUGCAAGUUGUACCACCAUCAUCAUCACAUUCGUAUGCGUCUUAUUUCGCAUAUGAGAACCCAAUACCUACAAAAGAAUUGUCAAAUGCAUUAGUAUCAAGAGAUCCCAAUGAGUCAUUGCUGUUAAUAUUGACAAAAAAAAUGAAUGAAUUGGUUGUGAAUCUGGCCAAAGAUAAAGAAAAAAAGCAUAAAUCAACUAAUAUGCGUCCCAAUGUCUGGUGCAGUAAUUGUAAGGGGCAAGGUCAUUUAGUAACAGAAUGUCCUUCACCACCCAAUUGACUGUACAAUGUACCUUUUGCUGGGGCAAGCAUAUUACCACCAACUGUUGGAAUUUACGGAAGCAACAAAACCUGAAUAACCAGAUAAUGACUCAACCAACUUCAUGGGAUGUCAAUCAAGUACAAACGAAUAAUAGGUUUGGUUGGAAUGGAAAUCGAGUGAAUAAACAAAACAAGAAUUAUUCUAGUUUCCUAAACUCUGAAUUUCACCAAAAAGGUGUAUCCAAUACUCACAGAUUGGCGAUGAACCAAGCAAGAUAUCAUCAAUAUCCAUCCAUGACGAAGCCAAUGCCAGAAUCUAUAGUAACAAUAGGUCAACCAAGAUCCUUUACUCAUCUAACAUAGAACAGACCUAGCCGUUAUAUACCAGUAGAGACACCCAUUAUCCCUGAAGGAGUUGGCACGAGACCACUUGAUUGCUAUUGUUGCAGACAAAUUGGACAUUAUGCAAAUGAAUGUCCUAAAUCCAAGGGCCAGUGAUGACUAUGCUCGAAUAUGUGGAAAUUGUAAGCAGUUUGGUCACACUUAUCAAUAGUGUAAUGCAUCCCUUAUUUAUAAUAACCAGGAUCAGCAAAUACAAACAAGCCAAUCGGUGGAGGACAAAGGCCUUCUUCAACGAGACUCACCAGUACAUCGUGUCGAGAUGGUGAAUGCAGUGCUUACCAGAGGCCAACAAAAAGAUAAGAAUCUAAUUCAGGACCUGGAUGAACCAAUUAAAUGAGAGCAAGUAGCACCAUCCAUGAAGCUAAACGAACCCAUAUCAGUAUUGGAACGUAUCCCAAUAAUGAGACCUCAACAGACUAAGAAAUUCAAUUCGGUUCCACGUGCCAAUUUGUCGAGACCAUCAAGAUCGAUCCCAACUGACCAAGUACUAAUACUUAUACAAUCCAAUAAAAGAUCUUACACAUUAAAGGAACCUUUAGUGAUAGAAAAGUUGAUGAAGUUAUUAGCGGUAAUUUCAAUCUCCAAGAAGAAAUUGCUACCAAAUGGAAUAAAAUCGAAACCAAUGAAAUGCAAAAGAGCAUUGAGAAUUACUCUCAAUAUGGAAUUCUACAACAUUUUGAAGGAUUUGGAUGUUAUUCAGCCUUCAAUUACAAUGAAGCAACUUUUGGCUGAAGCACCGGAAUGUCGAUCUACAUUGAAUUCAGCGUUAAUACGACGAAGAUCUCACACUAAAAAAAUUCAUGAAAUUAGCUUAAAUCCAGAUCUGGGAGCACCAACAAUCGAUGUAUCAAUUGAUGGCAUUUUAAUUCCAGAGGUACAAGUUGAUGGUGGCUCCAAUGUGAAUUUAAUGAAAGCAGAUACAAUAGAGAACUUGGAUCUAAAGCAAUUGCUACCUAUGACAUUGGUCUUGCAAAUGGCAGAUCAUAGUCGAGUAAAGCCAAUGGAAAUCUUAUGCAAUAUUGCCACUGUAAUCAUGGGAUUGACAUAUAAAAUUGACUAUAUUAUAUUUCGAUUACAGAAUUCUACAUUAUCGUAUCCCAUUUUAUUGAGCAAACCUUGGUUUUAUCAAGCCAAAGCUAAGAACGAUUGGAGCCGAGGUACAUUGACAAUUGGAAAAGGCCAUGACCAAAUUGUUCUACAGAUGUACCCGGUACAAUAUCAUGGAGAAUCUCAAUUGCUAGAAUCAAAAUUUACAUCGGAUAACGAGAGUCAAUUGAUUGAGGUAGAUGACAAUGCUAUAGAUUCAGUGCAAUUUUGAGUAGGACAAAACACUUCAACAGUAAAGGCAGGAGUCUACCAAUGUGAAAGUCUUAGCAAAUAUUUACUACAUUAGGAGGAUGCGACUAACUUAGAUCAUGCUAUUGUCGAAUGGAUGAAUAAUUCUGCAGUCAAUAGAGUCAGUACAUUGGAACCAGAUUUGAGUGGUUCCCAUAUGUCAGAUAAUACAAGAUAUUUAGAUCAGGAGAAGACAAUUAAAUCAGAGGUUGUUGAAGAUUCUGUGUGUCAAUCUAUAAACCUGGGCACCAACGAAACGCCACAGCUAAUUAAAAUAUAUGUCGGUAUUAUCGGUACAGAAUUGGAUGCUUGAAAAUAGUUUUUUGUCCGUCACAAAUCUGCCUUUGCAUGGUCGUAUGUGGAUUUGAAAGGGAUUCCAGCCAACGUGUGUGAGCACCAGAUUAUUCUGGAGGAGGGUGUUAUAUCAGUUCAUCAAAGACAACAUCAACUUAAUCCAAAAUAUUCUCUUUUAGUGAAAGAGAAAUUAGAUAAACUUCUUGACGUGGGUUUUAUUUAUCCUGUUCUGUAUAGUACAUGGAUGUCGUCAAUCAUGAUGGUACCAAAGAAGAGUAGAGAAAUCAAGAUAUAUCAGGAUUUCAAGAAACUUAAUUUGGCCACCAAGAAAGUUUACUUUCCUUUACCUUUCACAGACAGUAUGAGUAACAUAUUGUCAUUAUCACCAAGUAGUAAAAGAAUAAGAGUGGGGCACCAGUUAAAGUCAUUUUGUGGUAUUAUUUUGGGUUGGUUGGAGUGCCAUUCUUUUGUAUUUCUUGUGUUUUUGAGAGUAGUAGUUCUAGUUAAGAGUUAACAGUGAGGAGCCAGUCACAAAUAUUGAUUGAAGAUAUUCCAACAUGGAUGAGUCAGCAGCAAUAACAAUUGGAACUUCGAGAUGUCCAGAUCUUGAAAUUGGAAGCUCAAGUCCAUGUACUAGAUGAGUAUAAUGAAGAUCUAUCAAACCAGUUGAGGAAGGAGUCGAUGGAUUGGAGGAAGAAGAAGAAGAUUUGUAAUUCGAAUCAGAUUUGGUCGAACUUACAUUCGAUAAUGCAACAAAUGAUUAAUUAGGUGGGCCAGAGGAACUAGUAACUUCGUUGAGAUUUAUAAAGUAGUUAUUAGUUAGGUAUCAAUUGAGUGUUUGCGAGGAUGCUGCACAGAUAAGAAUGGGGCUAUGUAGAAUAGAAAUUAAUUCGUUUUUGAAAGAUAUUGAUAAAAUAUAUUAAUAAUCCAUAUAAUAGAAAAUUCAGGAAGACAGAUGAGUGAUUUAGUUCUUAAAAGGGAUUAAUUACAAAAUUACGGUUAGAAUUUGGAGAAUCAAGGGAAAGUAUAUAGGAGUUGUAGAAGUUAAUUAAGAUGUUAUUGCUGUGAUAGUGUCAGCCGGGGUAAGCUUGGUGCUACCUCUUUUCUUUUGUUUGUUAUUUUCUUUGAAUAAGAAGAUUGAGAAUUUCUGAAUAUUGUGAAGUGAAUUAUGGAAUGGAAAUGUGAUUGGUAUUAUUUGAAAAAAAAAAAGAUUGAAUGCUGAAAUCUAAUUGUAGUUCAGUAAAGAGAAUGAAUCUAUAUUUGUGUUAAACACCUUAAUGUGAAUGGCAGUUCUGUAUGAAGAAUUGUAAUGAUUGGAAUGAAGGUAAUUGUGUGCUGAAAGCUGUGGGGGCACAGUAUUACAAUUGGAGAUUAUGAAGGUGAAUAUAUUGGUGGAAAUAGCAGUUAUUGGUA
rnacentral:lncRNA from 1 species